rnacentral:rRNA from 1 species
AUUACUAAGCGGAGGAAAAGAAACCAACCGGGAUUCCCAUAGUAACGGCGAGUGAAGUGGGACGAGCCCAGCACCGAAUCGCACGCCGUCGGGCGUCGCGAACUGUGGUGUUUAGGACGAGCGCCUGCACGUCGGGAUGGCAUCGGAGUCCUCCUGAUCGGGGCGGCCAGAGUGGGUGUUAGCCCUCUACGGUGCCGAACCGGCGUGCCCGCCACGUCCUCGGAGUCGGGUUGCUUGAGAUCGCAGCCCAAAGUUGGUGGUAAACUCCAUCUAAGGCUAAAUACUGACGCGAGUCCGAUAGCGAACAAGUACCGUGAGGGAAAGUU